rnacentral:rRNA from 1 species
UACGUAGGGUGCAAGCGUUAAUCGGAAUUACUGGGCGUAAAGCGCGCGUAGGUGGUUUGUUAAGUUGGAUGUGAAAUCCCCGGGCUCAACCUGGGAACUGCAUUCAAAACUGACUGACUAGAGUAUGGUAGAGGGUGGUGGAAUUUCCUGUGUAGCGGUGAAAUGCGUAGAUAUAGGAAGGAACACCAGUGGCGAAGGCGACCACCUGGACUAAUACUGACACUGAGGUGCGAAAGCGUGGGGAGCAAACAGG